rnacentral:rRNA from 1 species
CCCUUCGGGGGUACUCGAGCGGCGAAAGGGAGAGUAACGCGUGGAUCACCUACCCCUGGGACCGGAACAGCCGCGGGAAACUGCGGGUAAUACCGGAUAACCAGUCUCCGGACCAAGGGUGCAAGUCCGCCUGGGGAGGGGUCCGCGUCCUAUUAGCUUGUUGGUGGGGUAACGGCCUACCAAGGCUACGAUGGGUACCGGGUGUGAGAGCAUGGCCCGGCUCACUGGGACUGAGACACGGCCCAGACACCUACGGGUGGCUGCAGUCGAGAAUCUUCGGCAAUGGGCGCAAGCCCGACCGAGCGACGCCGCGUGCGGGAUGAAGGCCUUCGGGUUGUAAACUGCUGUCAGAGGGGAUGAAAUGCCAGGGGGCCCACUCCCUGGUUUGACAUAUCCUCAGAGGAAGUACGGGCUAAGUUCGUGCCAGCAGCCGCGGUAAGACGAACCGUACGAACGUUAUUCGGAAUCACUGGGCUUAAAGGGUGCGUAGGCGGCCCGGUAAGUUGGGUGUGAAAGCCCUCGGCUCAACCGAGGAAUUGCGCCCAAAACUGUCGGGCUAGAGGGAGGCAGAGGUGAGCGGAACUUAGGGUGGAGUGGUGAAAUACGUUGAUAUCCUAAGGAACACCAGUGGCGAAAGCGGCUCACUGGGCCUCUUCUGACGCUGAGGCACGAAAGCCAGGGGAGCGAACGGGAUUAGAUACCCCGGUAGUCCUGGCUGUAAACGAUGAGCACUGGGUCGGAG